AUUGAACGCUGGCGGCAGGCUUAACACAUGCAAGUCGAGCGGGGUGAUGGUGCUUGCACUAUCACUUAGCGGCGGACGGGUGAGUAAUGCUUAGGAAUCUGCCUAUUAGUGGGGGACAACAUCUCGAAAGGGAUGCUAAUACCGCAUACGUCCUACGGGAGAAAGCGGGGGAUCUUUAUGACCUUGCGCUAAUAGAUGAGCCUAAGUCGGAAUAGCUAGUUGGUGGGGUAAAGGCCUACCAAGGCGACGAUCUGUAGCGGGUCCGAGAGGAUGAUCCGCCACACUGGGACUGAGACACGGCCCAGACUCCUAUGGGAGGCAGCAGUGGGGAAUAUUGGACAAUGGGGGGAACCCUGAUCCAGCCAUGCCGCGUGUGUGAAGAAGGCCUUAUGGUUGUAAAGCACUUUAAGCGAGGAGGAGGCUCUUUUGGUUAAUACCCAGAAUGAGUGGACGUUACUCGCAGAAUAAGCACCGGCUAACUCUGUGCCAGCAGCCGCAGUAA
rnacentral:rRNA from 1 species